rnacentral:rRNA from 1 species
CACGUAGGGUGCGAGCGUUGUCCGGAAUUAUUGGGCGUAAAGAGCUCGUAGGCGGUGUGUCGCGUCGGCCGUGAAAACCUGCAGCUUAACUGUGGGCUUGCGGUCGAUACGGGCAUCACUGGAGUUCGGCAGGGGAGACUGGAAUUCCUGGUGUAGCGGUGAAAUGCGCAGAUAUCAGGAGGAACACCGACGGCGAAGGCAGCACUCUGGGCCGGUACUGACGCUGAGGAGCGAAAGCAUGGGGAGCGAACAGG